GAUGAACGCUAGCGGGAGGCUUAAUACAUGCAAGUCGAACGGUAAGGUCUCUGCUUGCAGAGAUACACGAGUGGCGCACGGGUGAGUAACGCGUACGCAACCUACCCUUAAGAGGGGGAUAGCCCUGGGAAACUGGGAGUAAUCCGCCAUGUGAUAUGUUAACUGCAUGGUUGACAUAUUAAAACUACGGUGCUUAAGGAUGGGCGUGCGUUAGAUUAGCUAGUUGGUAAGGUAAUGGCUUACCAAGGCAACGAUCUAUAGGGGGCGUGAGAGCGUGAUCCCCCACACGGGUACUGAGACACGGACCCGACUCCUACGGGAGGCAGCAGUAAGGAAUAUUGGACAAUGGGCGGCAGCCUGAUCCAGCCAUCCCGCGUGGAGGAAGACGGCCCUCUGGGUUGUAAACUCCUUUUAUAUACCAAGAAACGCCUGGACGUGUCCGGGUUUGACGGUAGUAUAUGAAUAAGCACCGGCUAACUCCG
rnacentral:rRNA from 1 species